UUAAGGAUGAGGUUAGUGGACAUGGCAUCUGCCCGGUGCGCGGAACACUGUGGGUUCGAUUCCCAUUCCUGGAC
rnacentral:tRNA from 1 species